UACAGAGGUGGCAAGCGUUGUUCGGAAUUACUGGGCGUAAAGGGCGCGUAGGCGGUCUUGUAAGUCUUGUGUGAAAUCCCACGGCUUAACUGAGGAACUGCACGGGAUACUGCGAGACUUGAGAUCGGGAGAGGGAAGCGGAAUUCCGGGUGUAGCGGUGAAAUGCGUAGAUAUCCGGAGGAACACCGGUGGCGAAGGCGGCUUCCUGGACCGACACUGACGCUGAGGCGCGAAAGCUAGGGGAGCAAACGGG
rnacentral:rRNA from 1 species